rnacentral:rRNA from 1 species
UACGUAGGGUGCGAGCGUUAAUCGGAAUUACUGGGCGUAAAGCGUGCGUAGACGGUUAUUUAAGUCGGGUGUGAAAGCCCCGGGCUCAACCUGGGAAUGGCAUUUGGGACUGCAAGGCUCGAGUGCGGCAGAGGAGACUGGAAUUCCUGGUGUAGCAGUGAAAUGCGUAGAUAUCAGGAGGAACACCGAUGGCGAAGGCAGGUCUCUGGGCUGACACUGACGCUCAUGCACGAAAGCGUGGGGAGCAAACAGG